GAGUGAGACAAAGAAAGAUACGAAUGAGAUAGAGAAAAGGUGGGAGUGACCGAGAGAGUGGGUUAGAAAGAAAUGGCAAGAUUGGGGAAUGGAAGUGCCAAAUUACUGCCAUUUGUGGGAAUGAUGGUGGCUAUGCUAACUCAAAGUGGAAGCAUGGUGGUCAUAAAAUUUGCCAUGAUUGAUGAUAUCAACAAAUAUGUAAUGGUUGUCUACUCUUUUGCACUCUCCACUAUCUUGCUUCUUCCCUUUGCCUUCUUUCUCCACAGGUCAGAACGUCCUCCUCUCACGUUCUCUUUACUCUGCAAAUUCUUUCUUCUUGCAUUCUUUGGGAGUGCAGCAACUACAAUGGGUUAUGUUGGAAUAGAACUGAGCUCGCCGACACUUGGAUCAGACCUUCUUAGCCUCGUUCCAGCUUUCACUUUUAUACUUGCUCUCAUUUUCAGGAUGGAAGAAGUACAUUGGAGGAACUCAAGCAGCCAAGCUAAAGUGUUAGGAACAAUAACAUCAAUUGCAGGAGCAUUUGUUGUGGUACUGUACAAGGGUCCAAUCAUCUUUAAGACACGUUCGUCCAACUUUUCUAACCAAAUACUUCAAUUUUCACAACAGCUAAAUUGGAUAUUGGGAGGGAUAUUCUUUAUUGCAUAUUCACUCUUUAAUUCCAUGUGGUACAUAUAUCAGGCUUAUGUAGCAAAGAAAUACCCUGAUGUAACAGUGACUGUAUUCUUUCAACUCUUAUUUUCAACCGUGCAGUGUGGAGUAUUUGCCUUAAUUGCUGUGAGGGAUCCAACUGAAUGGAAGCUCAACUUCGAUAUAGGCCUGGUUGGCGUUCUAUAUCAGGCAAUAGUUGCAACAAUGAUAUCUUACCUGCUAUUCCAAUGGUGCGUCCUUAAAGCUGGUCCUUUGUUUUGUUCUAUGUUCAGUCCUGUGGCAAUGAUCUUCACCGUUUUCAUGGGUGCAAUCUUUCUUGGAGAUGAUUUAAGUCUUGGAAGUUUGAUUGGUGCGGUUAUAAUCGUGGUUGGAUUUUAUGGUGUAUUGUGGGGGAAAUCGAAAGAGGAGAAUGAGAUUGCAGAAGGGGUUGAGGACUUCGACUCAUCAUUCCAUGAUGUUCCUUUGUUGCAAGACAGGAACAGGUUGGUUCUAAAGAAAGGUUUGGAAAACGGAAUCAAACAAAAUGUCAGAUAGGCCUCCCGUCCAAGUUUAGAGACUAUGGGUUUGAAACUUAAAACCAUAAUUCUCGUGACAAUGACAAUGACAGAAGCGUUGGAGGUGUUGUGAUUGAUGAGGUGUCGCUAACCCACUGUAGGACAUUGUUGUGCCGCUAACCCACUGUAGGACAUUGUUGUUAUGGGUAUAAAAGGUCUCAAAGCAUCGGCAUUAUGGCUUCGAGACUUUGUCGGAAUCGUCGUAAGGAAUCUGAGAUUUGUUUUAUGUACUCGUGUAGUGUGGAAAAUUGUCACUUAUGGCAAUUGACACCAUUUUUUGGAUAGU